AGAACGAACGCGGGCGGCGUGUCUUAAUCAUGCAAGUCGUGCGGCAAGGGGUAGCAAUACCCCCUAGAGCGGCGGACUGGUGAGUAACGCGUGGGUGAUCUGCCCUUGGGAUGGGGAUAGCCUCUAGAAAUAGAGGGUAAUACCGAAUACGUUCGGCACUUCGCUGUGCCGAGGAAAAGCGCUUCGGCGCUGCCCGAGGAUGAGCCCGCGUCCCAUUAGCUAGUUGGUGAGGUAAUGGCCCACCAAGGCGAUGAUGGGUAGCCGGCCUGAGAGGGUGUACGGCCACACUGGGACUGAGAUACGGCCCAGACUCCUACGGGAGGCAGCAGCUAAGAAUAUUCCGCAAUGGACGAAAGUCUGACGGAGCGACGCCGCGUGGAUGAUGAAGGCCGAAAGGUUGUAAAGUCCUUUUGUUGGGGAAGAAUAACCAUGGGAGGGAAUGCCCGUGGGAUGACAUGAACCGACGAAUAAGCCCCGGCUAACUACGUGCCAGCAGCCGCGGUAACACGUAGGGGGCGAGCGUUGUUCGGAAUUACUGGGCGUAAAGGGCAUGUAGGCGGCUCUGUAAGUCCGGCGUGGAAGCCCACGGCUCAACCGUGGGAUUGCGCUGGAAACUGCGGGGCUUGAAUCAUGGAGAGGGAGCUAGAAUUCCUGGUGUAGGGGUGAAAUCUGUAGAGAUUAGGAAGAAUACCAGUGGCGAAGGCGAGCUCCUGGCCAAUGAUUGACGCUGAGGUGCGAAAGUGUGGGGAUUAAACAGGAUUAGAUACCCUGGUAGUCCACACUGUAAACGAUGUGCACUAGGUGCUGGGGCGGAUGCUUCAGUGCCGGAGCUAACGCGGUAAGUGCACCGCCUGGGGAGUAUGCUCGCAAGGGUGAAACUCAAAGG
rnacentral:rRNA from 1 species